rnacentral:rRNA from 1 species
UGGCGGAGGCCAACACAUGCAAGUCGAGCGGAUGAGACGAGCUUGCUCUUCGAUUCAGCGGCGGACGGGUGAGUAAUGCCUAGGAAUCUGCCUGGUAGUGGGGGACAACGUUUCGAAAGGAACGCUAAUACCGCAUACGUCCUACGGGAGAAAGCAGGGGACCUUCGGGCCUUGCGCUAUCAGAUGAGCCUAGGUCGGAUUAGCUAGUUGGUGAGGUAAUGGCUCACCAAGGCGACGAUCCGUAACUGGUCUGAGAGGAUGAUCAGUCACACUGGAACUGAGACACGGUCCAGACUCCUACGGGAGGCAGCAGUGGGGAAUAUUGGACAAUGGGCGAAAGCCUGAUCCAGCCAUGCCGCGUGUGUGAAGAAGGUCUUCGGAUUGUAAAGCACUUUAAGUUGGGAGGAAGGGUUGU